GAGUUCCCUCGUGCAACACCGCGGAGCCACAAUCGGAGUCCGUUAGUGACUCUCAACUUGCUCUGAGGAAAGUCCCUGGACAAUUGGACAGAAAGUGUCGUAACAUAAUUGUUUACUAGCCUCUUGUCGUCUUUCUCGAUUUUUAAGGAGAAGAAGCUUCGGCAGAUCCUUUUCGAGUUAGGACGAGAGUGUAUUGGUCAAAGAAAAGUCAUGUGUUUUGAGGCAUUAAAUUCUUUCCUUACAAUCCUUUCUUCGGAGAGGAAAAGGGAUGAAUUUGUCUAACUAAACAGGGCUCAUUACGAGGAGACU
rnacentral:RNase_MRP_RNA from 2 species